AUUGAACGCUGGCGGCAUGCUUUACACAUGCAAGUCGAACGGUAACAGGCCGCAAGGUGCUGACGAGUGGCGAACGGGUGAGUAAUGCAUCGGAACGUGCCCAGUCGUGGGGGAUAACGCAGCGAAAGCUGCGCUAAUACCGCAUACGAUCUAUGGAUGAAAGCGGGGGACCGAAAGGCCUCGCGCGAUUGGAGCGGCCGAUGUCAGAUUAGGUAGUUGGUGGGGUAAAGGCUAACCAAGCCGACGAUCUGUAGCUGGUCUGAGAGGACGACCAGCCACACUGGGACUGAGACACGGCCCAGACUCCUACGGGAGGCAGCAGUGGGGAAUUUUGGACAAUGGGCGCAAGCCUGAUCCAGCAAUGCCGCGUGCAGGAAGAAGGCCUUCGGGUUGUAAACUGCUUUUGUACGGAACGAAAAGGCUCUGGUUAAUACCUGGGGCUCAUGACGGUACCGUAAGAAUAAGCACCGGCUAACUACGUGCCAGCAGCCGCCGUAAAAC
rnacentral:rRNA from 1 species